AUGCAGAUCUUCGUGAAGACGCUGACCGGCAAGACCAUCACGCUCGAGGUCGAGAGCAGCGACACCAUCGACAACGUCAAGGCCAAGAUCCAGGACAAGGAGGGCAUUCCCCCAGAUCAGCAAAGGCUAAUUUUUGCUGGAAAGCAGUUGGAAGAUGGGCGAACAUUAGCUGAUUACAACAUUCAGAAAGAGUCGACGCUCCAUUUGGUCCUGAGGCUCAGGGGUGGAACUAUGAUCAAGGUGAAGACACUUACUGGGAAGGAAAUCGAGAUUGAUAUUGAGCCCACUGACACAAUUGAUAGAAUCAAGGAACGUGUUGAGGAGAAAGAGGGUAUUCCACCUGUUCAACAGAGGCUCAUCUAUGCUGGGAAGCAACUCGCUGAUGACAAAACUGCUAAGGACUACAACAUUGAAGGUGGUUCAGUGCUCCAUCUUGUGCUUGCUCUGAGGGGCGGUCAGUAG
rnacentral:rRNA from 1 species